CUGGGGGAGCGGCCGUGGCUGACUGAUUACGGUGUUCGCUUUGUAAGCGUGUAACAGUUGCAAUUGUUAGCAUUUAUUUAUUUAUUUAUUUUGGUUUUUCCGUUCGGCUUUAAAUGUAAUUUGAUCUUCGUUACCACGGUAAUCAAUGUAUUUGAUGUUAGCCCUCACGAUCGUUGGUAACUUUCGUUAUCGGUUUAAGACCUGGAGAGAGAAUCUCGCGGAGGUUGCUCAUAUGUUGAAUCCUUUGGGAAGACGGAAAGGGACGGUCAGAGCCAUUGCCGACCGCUAGAGUGAGACGGGAACUCAGAUCUUUAAAGAUCCGAAGAAGCCCGAGGCAAUCUCCGGGAAACGGCGUGCCAAAAGUACGUCUGGGGCCACCUUCCCCGUUCUGAGGAAGCUAGUACUCGUUCACUUUGUCCCAGACCUUUGUGAAGUGUGGAGUGCGCGGACUUUUAUCCCGGGUUCCCCUGUCCAGUCCUGAGAUCUCGUCGAGUUAGAAUUGUGAGUGUGCGAAAUAGUGAGCCUAGUGCGCGGCCUAGCUAGAGAUCAGGUAAACCGUUACCCCGUGCGAUUAUCCCCGUGCAUGUGCUAAUCCGUUGCGAAGUUCGUUGGCUUCGCUUCCUUUCGCCCUACCAGCAAAGCAGCACCAGUAGGAGAUCGAGCGCGCGUCCACCACCGCCCCGCAUCGAGUGUGGGACAAGUUUUGACCCGGCACACGCUACAUCGCCGGAAGAGACGAGCCGUCAACAUCUCGUCUGGAGGCGGUCCAUCCGCCCACGUGCUGGCCCGGAAAGCCAAGUCCCGGCCCGCGCAACAUCAUCGAAGUCGACCGCGCCCUCGUAGGUCGAACCGGCAGCGUAGUUCGCGCCGCCCGCGCGCACGCGGUGAACAUCAGCAGCAGCAUCAGCAAGUAACAGGAGCAACAGCAGUAGUCCGGUGAGUCCGUUCUUUUUCUGCGGGGAAGGGUGACGGCCACAGAAGGCGUCACGAACGUUUUUUCGUUCCGGCUGCGGCCGUAGAGCGGACGCCAUUUUGAUGGAGGGCGUCCAUUUUGUUUAAGCGCGUGUUGCCAUGCGCCCGGAGUGUGUCGGCCUUUAUUGACACGCCCCACACGUCCACGAAAUCGCACUCUAGUGCCUUUGUCUGCCGCAGUCCGCUUGACUGCCGGUGACGUCAGCGAUCAGCUGUUCCAGCUGACGAGCUGAAGAUUUGAGGUUGAGGAGAGAGCACAAAAGCACGGGGUAACAGAAGAACGAAGAGUAGACAGUAGGGAGAGCAAACGCACACAGUAGGGAGAUGUCUAGACGCUAGAACAGAAACAAUGAAUGAAAUACAAAACCUUAGACUAGUCCAAUAAAAUGAGCACCUCUUUUUGAUUUCCUACCUGAAGUAUUUUGUGUAAUUAUUUGGAGUUAAAUAAAGUCCCUGCAGUUAAAAUGAGCUCACGUGUUAGUUUUUUUGGUCGAUCCGGAGCGCUGCUUCCGUCACUUUAGGGUCCGUUCCCAGUCCUUUCCUCCCCAAUGAAAAAGUUCUGCGUAUUUCCCAUGCUUCGUGAAGUUCCCUGGUGGCGGGUGUCGGUACUACCCAUGAUGAUUCAUACGGGCACGGGGGGUCCUAUACUGGUGGAUUUCUGAGGAGCUUUUUCGGGAGGCUGAGCUUUCCGUACCGUUCUUGUGGGUCACUUUGGUACGCUGGCCGAUUCGAUCUUGCUUCUUCCCUGGGAAGAAGUUCAACCGAGCACCUCUUCGAGAGUCUCAAACCGGGCAAAUUUAACAUGGCGGGCAGUCUCCCUCACGGGAGUGGCGCAUAAGCUGCACCGUUUGCAACCGAUCGAAUCGCGACGGCUACAAGCGAAUGAUCCUGGGUUGAAUGAUCUGCUCCCAACUAGAAAGUAUAGGAAAUAUAAAUCUUGAAACUCUGAACAUAUACGUAAGAUCAAAGUCGCUCAAAUCGAUCCCCCGUCUUUUGGAUCGGUAAGCAAAAAUGCUAACCACUAGGCCAUCGCGACUUGGUGAGCUGUAACUGGAAUUAUGAAUACUGUAACUGUUAACGCCCAGUUAACCAAAUUUGACGAUCAUGUAGAAACACUUUCCGACAACACUGUAGAUUAUGUAACUCCACACACACAAUCACAGUAGCCCUUCGUGUACCUUUAUGUUCAAUGUGUGUAGUCGUUACAAAGCACGAAGUGGUUUGUCUUUUGUAAUGUUUUUGUAGACUUCCCGGUCGCAAAGAACUUGACGAGCUUAAAACUAGACUAGACACUUUCCACAAAACAUUUCUGACCAGAUGGUCGACCGGGACAGUCACCCCUCCUCAGGGGCAAGUUAAGUAAAACCAAUAAAACUUGUAAUAUUCGAACCCCAGUUUACCCACAAUAAAGACUUCCCAAAGUUAUCGCGACUUUUAAGUUCACUUACCGGAUCACUAAGUUUCACCCCCGACACACAGGACCACAUCCGCUACGAUGUGCGUGAACAGUAACUAUCAACUAUAUACGCGCUAAGCCCGCAUAAAGAUUUCUGAUGAACUUACAGUAAAUUUUAACGUUACAAAACGAUAAAAUAUAUUGUCAUUUUGACAGUGUUUUAACAGUA